AAACAAAUUCCAGAAUAUAAACUUUCAGCAGAAGUUGUUCUUGAAGGGCUUUCGAAUCAGUCUUUGACCAACCAUUGUAAAUUGCAUGAAUCAUUGCUGAAGUUUUUCUUUAGCAUGAUGAAUUUGCGAUAUUAGACCAGGCCAUGGUCAACCGGGUUGACAUCAGUUCUGUCAAAUUAGACACUGGAAUCGAUGAGUGGUUCCUGGAUAGAAACCGAACUAGAGCUAUCUUGGAGAAGGGCUUCUCCCCCUUGAACAGUGAAAUGCAUCAGAAUAACAUUCAAUUUGUAAUUUUUUUUUCUUUAACUAACAGCAGUCACAGGCUGUCAUCCUAGGUAAGCUUGUACCUAAAACGACCAUGGUAUCACGAAAAAUAACGGUCGCCAAGAUUAUUGAUUCCAAAUUUCAAUUCCAGACAAAAAUAGCCUAAUCUUACUAUUUUCUUUUGGAAUUUUCUUCCCCUUAUCCAAUAUCCACACCACACAUAUAGAAAUCCUCUCUCCUGAGUGGCUUCCAAUCCCCUUGAACCAUACCAACCUUAACCCCACCUUCUGUAUUUUCCCUUCCAAAUGUUUUCCACUAUUUUUUUGUAUUCUUUCUCCAUCUUCUCCGCUAUUCACUGUACUCUUCUCUUCCUUCUCCACCACAAAGCCUCCAAAUUUUAACUACCCAGAUUCUCAAUUCCCAUAUCUCUGCUACUUUUGCUACAACAAGCAAUACCCAUUAGCGCUUUCAUGCUGUUCAACAAUCACUUGGCUCCUAAGAGAUUUCCCGCCAAAAUUUUUUUUUGAAUUAGUCUAAAAAUGGAGAGGUUUUCUCACAGAGAGAGCGUUCUUUUGGGUUGUAGCCCUCAAACAUCCUUUAUGAAUCAUCCAAUUUCUUCGCCAAAGAGCCCCUCUAGGAACUCAUCGGAUGUUGAUUUCAACGAUGUGUUUGGUGGCCCUCCAAGGCGAUCCUCGAUUCAUGAGGUGCGACACAGCUUUAGUGAUAGUACAGAUUCAUAUACGUUAAAGAGUGAUGAGGAAACAAGUUCAUAUCGCCGCCGGUUGUAUGGUCUGAGCCAGAAGCCCGUAUUUGGAGAGGAAGGUGUUAAUAGAAGGCGAUACGCAAGUGAUAACUUCUUUGAUGAUAUUUUUAAAGUCAACGAGUCUUUGACUUCUUCACCAAGGAAGAACGAUCGAGAUCCAUUUUCUUCGUCACCAGGUUCCAGAGUUCUAAGCCCUGUUCGUCCCCUGUCACCAAGGACUGAGCCCUUUGCGGGGUCAUCACUUCCUGCACAAUUCAGCCUCCCUGCCAAACUGAUUAAAGGAUCUGAAUUGCCAACUUUUGGAUCUAGCGCCCGUAAUCAUCACAGAAAUCCUCUAUCUAGAUUUUCAAGCCAAGCAAAUCAGGCUGAGGAGGAGCCAAUAAAUGAUGUUUAUUUGCAUAGCUCUUUAUCGCUUGAGCAAUCUCUUAUCAGUGAAGAGUCAUUAAACUUUGUCAAACCUGAUGAAAUGGACAAAGGGAAUGAUUUGAAAAUGGAUUCAAAUCGUUCUGAAGUUCCAACUGUUAGCAAUCAGUUUCACUUCUCUAUUUACAAAUGGGCAAGCAAAGGGAUACCCCUAGCACUGCCUUUUGGAGGAGGAAAUAGUCCAAAAUGGAAAGAGAAGUUCAAGUUUGAGAGGAGUUCAAGUGCUUCUGGACGGAUAGCAUCUGAAGAUAACUCUAAGGAGUUACCAACAGUGACUCCACAGGAUAUUGAUUUCCCCUCAUUCAAUAUUAACUUAUCAUCAGAUGCUCAGUCCUCUGAGAUCAAACUUGGCAAACAAGAGAACGGUUCCCCCCAUAGUAGAGUAGAACAAGAGCAGACUCUUGCAGAGACAAUUCUUCCUAAAUCCAAGCCUGAAAGCCCGAGCGCUCAACAAGAACAUGGUCGCAAAUCUGAGUUAAAAACACUGCGCUCUCUGUUGAUAGGUAUGGAUGAGAUAGCUGUGGAAAGCAAGGUGAAAAGCAUCAAAAGUUCAGCAGCCUUUGACGUUAUUGAAAAAUUAAAGAAACAAGAUGGAAAAGAAACUAUGUCGAAUAGUGUAGAAAUGGAUAAAACCAACUUACAAGGUUCGCCCACAAAUUCACGAGACGUCCCUGCAAAGAAUCGAAUUAGGGGAAAGGUCAAGGAAUUUGUUAAAAUUUUCAAUCAGGAGGCUUCAAAUAAGCCCAAAGUCAAUGUGGACUCUCAAAAUCGGAGCUCUAGAUGGAAGGAGAGAGGCAAAUCCAAGACAGAGGAUUAUGCAAGUGUCACGUCAACUAAAGUAAAUGAGAAAAUGCAUUUGCCUAAUGUGAAGAAUAAAAAUACACCAGUUGCUUCCAUUGUGGUAGAUGAAUUCUUUAAACAGUUAGAGAAACAACAUUCUGAGUCAAGGACCAACGACCAUAAUUACAAAGAUAUUUCUUUUGGACUUAAGGGAAGGUCAGCAUCUGCAGCAUCAAUUCCUGGUGGCUCAGAAGCAAUAGCAGGAGAUCCAGAUGAUUCUUUCCAAGCGAAUAUAUUGGUUAAAGAGUUGCCUCAGGAUGAAGAUAAACUGCCACAAGCUGGUGACAACACCGAAGAUAUCCAAAUCAUUAAUGCUAAAAUUCGGAAGUGGUCAAAUGGGAAGGAAGGGAACAUCCGUUCCCUGCUCUCAACUUUACAAUAUGUUCUUUGGCCUGAAAGUGGGUGGAAGCCUGUGCCUCUAGUUGAUAUAAUUGAAGGGAGUGCAGUGAAAAGAUCGUACCAGAAGGCCUUACUCAGUCUACAUCCAGAUAAAAUACAACAGAAAGGUGCCACAUCACAUCAAAAAUACGUAGCAGAAAGAGUUUUUGAAAUUCUGCAGGAAGCAUGGACCCUUUUCAACUCACUCGGUUCAGUGUGACCACCUCAACUAUGAACAGUACAGUGUCUUAAAUUUGAAAUCAGGCAAAAUGGCAAAUGCACGUUCGAAGAUCACUUGGGUAAUUGGCUUUAUUAGUCCUCACUUGUAAUCAAUUAAAGCACAUUAUGCGCUUUCAUCUUCAUUAAAAGCAUAAAAAAGAAGCUACUGCUCUCUCUAGUGAAAAUCCGGAAGCAAUCAUUACAAGUUUGAAACUUCUCAUUUCACUGCCCAGAGAGAUUGAUUUUAGGUGGCGCGUAGGAGAGAAGCCCAGUCGGAUAGGAAUUAGUAGUCGCAAGCCUUGAGUCUUGAGCUUUUGUGCGCAUAACGCGCUCGUCGUUUUAUACGGUCAUUUGGGAGGAAGUCGUCGUUUUAUUGUGGUACCAAUUAUCACGAAGAUGCGGGCACGGGGCACCCAACAGUUGUACAGUGUCCAGCUUCCCACGUUGCCUUGUCUAUAGCUCUGACGCCUUGCCAACCAGACAAAAGUAGGACCCACUUCCCAAUUGCAUGAUCAUUAAUCUUUGAAUUUCUAAAAAUUGAAUUUUGAUUCCAUCAUCUAUGUUGUGUACUAGUACUAAUUUCACACUUAUAUUUUUUUUAUUAAGGUUUUGUUUGAUUGUUUA